GCCUAAGAACAUAAAUAUGGUAUUUUAAUAUCCGUUACACGCAAAUAAAAAUAUGGUGUGCGUCAUAUUAGCGUCGAUGAGUUAGCGGCGACAGGGAACGGUGGAAAAUGGAACACGAGGAUGUUUUUUAUUUAUUUUUUUUUUCGCUUUAUGGGCGUGAAUUCAAAAAAAUAAAAAUGCAAAAAUGUUUUACGAACUGCUUUUCAUUUUAUUUGUAGCAGUUUCGCUAGCUCACCUCUUCCCAGGGCGGAGGUUUCUCCUUGCCACACAGGUCACAACAUAAUUUCGAUUACCAUCGACGUCUUACAAUUCUACACAACUACAAUCUCUAAUACGAAAACAAAGAGAAAAAGCUCAUAACUGUAAACGAAAACAAUGGCAGCAUGCACGAGGAAGAAAGCGACAACCAUAUUGUAGAAACGAGCAAAUGGAUGAUUUAUCGAGAGAGAAUUAAUAUUUACAUUUAGAGAUGUCACAUUUAAACAAUGUUACAUGUCACAUUUAAAACCCAGCUUGUACCCAGCUUGGAAGCGUAUUGCUGAACUGUAAGCAGAAGUUAAGCUAAUGGAAGGAUGGACGAGCACAAGUAGAAAUGACGUCAUUGAUAUAACGUCGAAGACGUCGAAGCCUUAAUUAAUUACUUUUCGGAAUGGGUGACCAUCAUCACCCGAUACAGCAUUGGAUAAACGAUUUUGAGCACAUAAUGAACACCUAUGAGGUACCAGAUCAAUUCUGAUGUAAUUCGUGCAAUUGUGCUCCGAGACAAAACGGGAACUUCCACUUCUUUAGCUUUUUAUGAAUCAUUGAUAAAUUGCGUAAGAAGAUAACCCUAUAUGACAA